CAGCAGUGUGUGUCUCUUUACCCCAACCUUCACUCCACAUAGGCCUUCUUAGGUAUUGACACUGAUAUGAUAAAUGCUUCAAAAGAAGUUUCCUGACCAUGAAAAGGUGAAAAGAGAAACGGCAGCUUACCAAAAAGAAAGGAAGCACAGAGAAUAAAGGCCAAAGACCAGAACACCUGCUCCUGUCUCUC
rnacentral:lncRNA from 1 species